CUUAUUUUACUUUUCAUUUUCCUUUGUUCCAAAAUCCAAUUUGCGAACCAACCCUAAUAGUUGGGUAGAGGCAGACAUAAGAGAUAAUAGGCACUGUGAAGGGUGAGGCUGUAAUGAUAAGAGGAAGUCCAAGAACAUGUCACUUUUGUGCAAACAAUUCUACUAUGGUGAAUGGAAAAUAUAUGUUGGUAAGUGCACCAUAUAACCUAAGAUGA